CGGGAAGUAGCCAGCUUGGUAGAGCACUUGGUUAGGGACCAAGGGGUCGCAGGCUCGAAUCCUGCCUUCCCGA
rnacentral:tRNA from 1 species